GUCUAUAGCCAUACCACCCUGCACAAGCUCAAUGUCUGAUCUCUGAUCUCGAAAGCUAAGCAGGGUUGGGCCUGGUUCAUACUUGAAUGGGAGACCACCUAGGAAGACCAGGUGCUGUAGGCA
rnacentral:rRNA from 1 species